CCUACGGUGGACAGCAGUGAGGAAUAUUGGUCAAUGGACGAGAGUCUGAACCAGCCAAGUAGCGUGAAGGAUGACUGCCCUAUGGGUUGUAAACUUCUUUUAUAAAGGAAUAAAACGAGGCACGUGUGCCUUUUUGCAUGUACUUUAUGAAUAAGGAUCGGCUAACUCCGUGCCAGCAGCCGCGGUAAUACGGAGGAUCCGAGCGUUAUCCGGAUUUAUUGGGUUUAAAGGGAGCGUAGAUGGGUUGUUAAGUCAGUUGUGAAAGUUUGCGGCUCAACCGUAAAAUUGCAAUUGAUACUGGCAGUCUUGAGUACAGUUGAGGUAGGCGGAAUUCGUGGUGUAGCGGUGAAAUGCUUAGAUAUCACGAAGAACUCCGAUUGCGAAGGCAGCUUACUAAACUGCCACUGACAUUGAUGCUCGAAAGUGUGGGUAUCAAACAGGAUUAGAUACCCCGGUAGUC
rnacentral:rRNA from 1 species